ACCACUUAAUCAAGUGCAUUCUAUUAGGUUAAAAAUUCAACUUCAAUGAUUUUAUUAAACAUUUUAAUUUGAAAACAUUAUUUAAUGUGUUGACGUGAAAGAAUUAUAUUAGUACAUAUUUUAGCUUAGACUUGUAAGUAAUCUAAACUCAAAUUCCUUUUUUCAUUUAUUGAAAAACAAAAUUCAAGUUCAUCUAACCUAAUCUAACGUUAUGUCUACUUAAUUUCUCUGUUUCAUGAGUGGGCACGAAACUCCUCCCACUUAACAUGCUGUGAGAAGAUCGUAACGCCAUAUUGCAAGUGAAACAAACAGCUACGAACAAUACAGUUGAAGUACGGAGAGAGGUGGCCAUUCGUUGCCUGGUUGUCUACCUUGGAGAAAAGGAACAGGACCUCUUCAAGGAGUUUAAUAGUAUUGAAGAAUUUGAAGCAAACCUUGACAGGCAAGUAUUGAAGAUUGCCAUCAUUAAAGACCAGAAUCCAAACACUGGAACCAUCCUGAUCGAGGGAGCCAAAAUCCUGGAUGGUAUUGAUGUCCCAAGGUGCUGUGCUUUGCUCAUGGGUUUAAUAUACGCUCUGAAUCUGAGCUAUCCCAAGGAUCUAAAAUGUACAUACGAAGUAUUUCAGAAACUGUUCCUUGAACUUGAUGGACUAAAAACCAGUGGGAAAGUAAUGAAUCUCAAGUACAGCAUUUUCUAAGAACACUUUUCUUUCAAACCACUGCCAUUUUUUUUUUUUAAACCCAUGUUAUUAUUUAAUCCAUAAACCGCUGUUUCAAUUUUAAACAUUCUCAGGUUUUGUUUUAAAUUUUUGUUGACUAUGUGCUGUUGAAAACAUGUUCAUUAUGGUUUUGUAAUACUGUGUUCAAAGAAUGUUGCUCUUUUGUCCAAGAAUGUUCUUAGGUCAGAGUAGGUGCUGUUGUGUGUUCAUACCUCAUGAUCUUUGUAAGCACUUGGUAUUUUCAUAGUGAGGUUGCUAUAUUUUUCAAAAUGUUUUUGCAUCCUGCAAUGGAAGUCAGGUGUGACAAAUUUGACAGUUGAAUAUUACA